GACGAACCACACAAACGUUAUUCGGAAUUACUGGGCUUAAAGGGUGCGUAGGCUGCGCGGAAAGUUGGGUGUGAAAUCCCUCGGCUCAACCGAGGAACUGCGCCCAAAACUACCGUGCUCGAGGAAGAUAGAGGUGAGCGGAACUUACGGUGGAGCGGUGAAAUGCGUUGAUAUCGUAAGGAACACCCGUGGCGAAAGCGGCCCACUGGGUCUUUUCUGACGCUGAUGCACGAAAGCUAGGGGAGCAAACGGG
rnacentral:rRNA from 1 species